CAGAUUCGGACUGUCCGUAAUGUCUUAAAUGCCACACUCUGUCAAUACUUAGGCAGACUCGACGACUCUUCCCUUCGAACUCUGUUCUAUGAGGCGAUGGCCAUUGUGAACAGCCGCCCGUUAACUGUAAACGGAGUAAAUGAUCCUACCUCACUCGAACCAUUAACUCCAAACCAUCUCAUACUGAUGAAGUCCAAGAUUGCACUUCCACCGCCUGGCAAAUUUGAGAAGGAGGAUGUGUAUGCAACUAAAAGGUGGCGAAGAGUCCAGUACCUUGUUGAACAGUUCUGGAGCCGGUGGAGGAGAGAAUAUCUCAUGAACAUCUCCACACGCCAAAAGUGGCAUACAACUCGACGCAGCCUUAAGGUAGACGACUUAGUCAUUAUAAGGGAAGACACCCCUAGAAAUCAGUGGCACCUGGGACGAGUGGUUGAAACCACAAAAGGGGAGCGAUGGUCUAGUGCGUCGCGUCAAGGUGUUAGUAGGGGAAAGAACAUCAGCAAAACAAGAUCGCCCUACCAAACCUUUGAUCAUAGAAAGACCCAUUCAGAAACUAGUUCUCCUCCUCGAGAGUGAGUAAUCAGUCUAGUUGUCUGCACCUUUUAUUUCCUCAUGACAGUCUAUUCUCUACUAGAAAUUAAGUAAUACUCACCUACACACAUCUAGAAAUACUGAUACAGACAGGACUCAAGUAUGAUCCGUUCAGCCAGGUUGACCCUUGUCUUCACUCUACAUAACAUGAGUGGUGGGAGUGUAAAUGACCACUAGCAGUGUUCUUUUAUUUUGAUGAUCCUUUUCCUACUUAGAUUUUAUGUGACUUUUAUUUUGACAUCAUGUUAUCCGCUCACGUGAUUAAUCGCCCGCGCUCGUGCUCACAUCUGUUUAAUAGAAGACACGAGAAGCUAGCUAGCAACUUAAUACAUUAAGCUAAUGGCGGCGGACUUCCCUGGAUUACCACUUUAUAGCACCCUUUGAUAUGCGGAGCGAGUUUUCACGGUGUUGAUGUUGGUGUUGGUGCUAUGCACACUCAUCUGAAUUAAAGUACACCCGUCUGGAAACAC